AUGCCUGUCGAACCUGCUUCACCUCCCUCACUGGUUCAGCAUGGGGGAGAAGUCAGAGAAAACUGUAGGGUUCCAGAGGACCUGUUCAGUGGUUUGCAAGUUUCAGAUCCCCAGGAAGCACAAUGUGCUGGUCCUUCAGUUUCUAAUCCCAAAGAUCACCAGCCCCAGAACAAGCUCCCCGAGGAUGUUGAGGCCCACCCCCAGGAGGACCAGGGCGAAGAGGAACUUUCACGAGACUACAGUGCCUCAUUUGAGAAGGAGGAACCAGGAGUGGACAAGGUUGAGAACAAACCUGACGAUGAUGUGAAUUCCUCCGAACUCGACGAAGAAUACCUAAUAGAACUGGAAAAAAACAUGCCAGAUGAAGAGAAACAGAAAAGAAGAGAAGAGAGCACUAGACUGAAGGAGGAGGGCAAUGAGCAAUUUAAGAAAGGAGAUUACGUAGAAGCUGAACGUUCUUACAGCCAAGCCCUUCAAAUGUGCCCAUCCUGCUUCCAGAAAGACAGGUCAAUUCUGUUUUCAAAUAGAGCUGCUGCAAGGAUGAAACAGGACAAG